UCUUUUACUGCUCUGUGUGCAGGAAAAUAAAUUCAGCUAUCAUCCACGUUCUGUGUGUGUACUGAUGAAGGGUGAGACAAACCGGGUAGAAAGAAAGAAAACAAAGAAGAAAGAAAGAGGAUGGCAUGAGGGUGAGUUUCACACCUGGGGUAAAAGGCUCCCACAAAUAGGACAAAAGGCUCCCAGGUGGUUAAAGUGAUAUCAGUGUUCGAAUCUCUCCAUAUAGUAGUACAUCCUUACUGCACAUGCAGUAUGUGAGACUGAAAGAAUGGGAGAGAGUGCCAUCUGCUGUCAUUGGAGAAUAUACAGAAUGUGGACACCCGUCCCAACACCACACCCAUAAGUGCUUGUUGAACAUUUAAAAACAAAAACUAUUAAUAUAGAGUUGGUUCUCCUAAGGGCAUAUAUUUUGCUUUAACAAAGUUUCCAUUGGUCAUGGUAUAAAUAUUGUAGGGGUUGUUCAAUAUUGUAUGGGGGGUACUUCCCCCCCAUCCCCCCUGGAAUCUAAGCCCAUGGGUCCUCCCUUUACAUAUGUGUAGCUGAAAUAGCCAAAUGGAAGUUAGUUUUGAUAAUUUUAUUUAUUUAUUUUUAAAGGUGGCAAAGGAGCCUAUUACCCUACCCUUGAUGUAAAAUGCCCUCGGGGGAUAUUGUCAUGUUCUCUGUUGUCUUUUGUUUUUGUGCUUUUAUGUUGAAGUUUAGUUUAGUUCCUGUUUCCUGUUUGGUUUUUGUAGUCCUUUUAUAGUUUCAUUUUAUGAUUGGUUUUCCCCUGAUUAGUUCUCAUUCCCUGAUUGUUUCCCCAGGUGUUCCUCAUUCCCUUGUUUGUUCCUUUAUGUAUUUAAGUCCUUGGUUUCCCUGUUUCCAGUGUUGGUUCUUGCAUGUGUUAUUAUGCUCUGUGCCAGGUUUCCUUUGUUUUUCUUUAUCCUGAGUUUUCAUUAAUAAAAGCUGCACUUAGAUCUGCAUUCUCUGCCUGCCUUCGUCACAGAUAGAGUGAUACUGUGUCAGUUUAGGGGCAAUAGUUACAGGGAAAACACUUUCAAUUAAGGAAAAUACUUUUGAAAGAGCAAGAUGCUUUUUUGAGUAACAAAUUAAGAUUAUCCAAAACAACAAUUUCAGAAAAGUGUUAACCAUUUCCUGUUCAUUUUAAUCACAUUUGCAUUCAUACCAUCUCAAAUAUUCUAUAAACAAAUGAAUCUCCAUUGUGAUUGGAUCAGUCAGUGUGAGCACACUUCAAACAUUUUUUAUAACAAAUCUAUUCCCACCAAUUAGGAAAAACAAAGUGUUUUAUAGGGGCCGUUAACCUCGGCAACAGAGGGGCUUUGUUUUUGGUACACAAAAUUCCAUUAUUUUACUUAUUGGACAAUUAUUAAAAAAGCAUUUGUUUUAAUCAUCUGGAACAAG